rnacentral:tRNA from 1 species
CAAAUAGAAGCCCGCUGGUUUGGGUAGUUAGCUGUUAACUAAUUGAUCGUGGGAUCGAGGCCCGCCUAUUUAGG